CCUACGGGUGGCAGCAGUCGAGAAUUUUUCUCAAUGGGGGAAACCCUGAAGGAGCGACGCCGCGUGGAGGAUGAAGGUCUUCGGAUUGUAAACUCCUGUCAUGAGGGAGUAAGGCAUUUCGUUAACUGCGAGGAUGCUUGAUAGUACCUCAAGAGGAAGGGACGGCUAACUCUGUGCCAGCAGCCGCGGUAAUACAGAGGUCCCGAGCGUUGUUCGGAUUCAUUGGGCGUAAAGGGUGCGUAGGCUGCCAUGUAAGUCAGAUGUGAAAUUCCAAGGCUCAACCGUGGAACUGCAUUUGAUACUGCGUGGCUUGAGAGCUGGAGAGGAGACUGGAAUUCACGGUGUAGCAGUGAAAUGCGUAGAUAUCGUGAGGAAGGCCAGUGGCGAAGGCGAGUCUCUGGACAGCAACUGACGCUGAGGCACGAAGGCUAGGGGAGCAAACGGGAUUAGAUACCCGAGUAGUC
rnacentral:rRNA from 1 species